AGCGAACGCUGGCGGCAGGCCUAACACAUGCAAGUCGAACGAAGUCUUCGGACUUAGUGGCAGACGGGUGAGUAACGCGUGGGAACAUACCCUUUCCUGCGGAAUAGCUCCGGGAAACUGGAAUUAAUACCGCAUACGCCCUACGGGGGAAAGAUUUAUCGGGGAAGGAUUGGCCCGCGUUGGAUUAGCUAGUUGGUGGGGUAAAGGCCUACCAAGGCGACGAUCCAUAGCUGGUCUGAGAGGAUGAUCAGCCACAUUGGGACUGAGACACGGCCCAAACUCCUACGGGAGGCAGCAGUGGGGAAUAUUGGACAAUGGGCGCAAGCCUGAUCCAGCCAUGCCGCGUGAGUGAUGAAGGCCUUAGGGUUGUAAAGCUCUUUCACCGAUGAAGAUAAUGACGGUAGUCGGAGAAAAAGCCCCGGCUAACUUCGUGCCAGCCGCCGCAGUAACAC
rnacentral:rRNA from 1 species